rnacentral:lncRNA from 1 species
CCGGGCGGACUCUGGCUGCACCUGGCAGGAAGCCUGCACUCAGGACUGAGGUCGCUUCCAGUUGCCCUCCCGGUGGCAAUGCAAGAGAACAGAGUCAUGCUGAGACCUAAGACUGACUGUCCGGCUGAGAUAAGAAGCCUCAGGAAGGAGGGAAACUAGAGAAGAAAAAAAACGAUGAAAGCAAAAAGCUUGCACACUGCAGGCGAUGGAGAAGCAUGCGUCACGGGAUUCUAGGACGAUCCUGGGCGUGACGCUGCCGAGCUCUCAUCUGAAGGUGCCUCCGCCGUUCAAGGUGAGCGAGAGCCUCUGGAUUCCCCAUGGGCGUGUAGCUGCUGUUCACCUGCAGAUGCUGCUGUCCCAGGGGAGCGACCUGCUGGAGUCCUGGGGCACCCGCCCUCCCUGCCUAAGCAAGCAGAUAUUUCGAAGAAUUGUCUGCGAAUGUGACACACAAGGUGAAAAGCCAGGGC